rnacentral:lncRNA from 1 species
AUUUGUUUACAGGCAUUGUAAAAAAGCCCAAGAUAGCUGUGGCAAUACGCUACGUGGCUUUUCUCCUUCAUACCCAGAAAAGGACCUGAAAUUCCAACUGAUUAGGUAAUUUACUCAGGGUCAAUCAUUUAGGCUGAUAAGUGCCCAAGUUGUGAUUUGAAUGCAGCACUGUCAAGGUAAGGAAGCCUGAACUCUCAUAAACUACACUCUACCACCACAUAAAU